rnacentral:lncRNA from 1 species
CUACUAGGCCCUGAGGGUCCCCAGCAGAUAUGGAAGUGAGUGAGACAGACAAGGUCCUGCUCUUGAAGACCCUCAGGAGAGAACUCACCGUAGGCAGAGCCUGCUUCAACCUCUCCCCAAACGAGGCCUGGACACUGGCUGCACAUCAGGCACCUCUGGCAGACACCAGGGCUGCCUGGAGCAGAGGAAAGAGCAUAGCUUUGGAAUUAAACAGGCGUCAACCUGUAUCCUGAAUGUUCAUCACGAGCUGUGUGUCUAUGAGCAAGUCCCUAACCUCUCUGACCCUCAGUAAGAAUAACAAAAGCUAGCCUGGAGCGUGGCUCACGCCUGUAAUCCCAGCACUUUGGGAGGCCAAAGCAGGGGGAUGACUUGAGGCCAGGAGUUCGAGACCAGCCUGGCCAACAUGGUGAAACUCAUCUCUACUUAAAAAAAAAAAAAAAUUAGCUGGGCAUGGUGGUGCACACCUCUAAUCCCAGCUACUCAAGUGGCUGAGGCACGAUAAUUGCUUGAACCUGAGAGGCGGAGGUUGCAGUGAGUCCAGAUUGCACUCUAGCACUCCAGUCUGGGCGAGGGAGCAAGAUUCUGUCUUAAAAAAAAAAAAGGCCGGGCACGGUGGCUUAUGCCUCUAAUUCCAGCACUUUGGGAGGCCGAGGCAGGCAGAUCACAAGGUCAGGAGAUCGAGACCAUCCUGGCUAACAUGAUGAAACCCCAUCACUACUAAAAACACAAAAAAUCAGCUGGGCGUGGUGGUGGGCACCUGUAGACCCAGCUACUCAGGAGGCUGAGGCAGGAGAAUGGCGUGAACCCAUGAGGCAGAGCUUGCAGUGAGCCGAGAUCUUGCCACUGCACUCCAGCCUGGGUGACAGAGCAAGAUUCCAUCUCAAAAAAAAAAAGCUGUCCCCAGCAGAGACCCUUAGCACCAUUCCAGGUGUCCUGCUGAAAUCCAGAACCACUGCCAUCCCAACCUGACUCUGCCCACUGAGCUUGAGCUUCUAUUCAUUCGCUGGAGGCCAUCUCAAAUGUCCUUUCUUCAGUGAAACCUGCAGGUCUUUUUCAGGAUAAAGGAGGAGACUCACAUGCAUUGGGACCCUGCUGUGAAUGACGCCCUGUGCCGAUCACCUCAUACACAAUUGCUCAUCUCUUCCUCAAAACCCUGGCAGGCAAGACCAGCCAUCUUUAUUUCAUAGAAGGGGAAACCAAGGCUCAAAAGAUGAGGUGACUUGUCCAAGGUCGGGCAAACUUUGCCAUAUUCUGCAUGCCUCUAACAGGGAUGGAUGUUGUGGGGGACUGUCUGAUGGAGGCUGGGGUGGGGUCACC